AUACGGAGGGUGCAAGCGUUGUUCGGAAUCACUGGGCGUAAAGGGCGCGCAGGCGGUUUGGUAAGUCAGAUGUGAAAGCCCACGGCUCAACCGUGGAAGUGCAUUUGAAACUGUCAGACUUGAGUACUAGAGGGGAAAGUGGAAUUCCCGGUGUAGAGGUGAAAUCCGUAGAUAUCGGGAGGAAUACCGGUGGCGAAGGCGACUUUCUGGCUGGAUACUGACGCUGAGGCGCGAAAGCGUGGGGAGCAAACAGGAUUAGAUACCCUAGUAGUCC
rnacentral:rRNA from 1 species